CGGUGCCUGGCGCGGCUCAGUAAGACUUGAGGAGCUGGAGAAACGUGAGCAAGGAGGGAAAAUCUUCAGAGUUCGGCUGCGAGGCUGGCGUGUCUUGGGAUCCUGGCGUUUGUUGGUAGGCGCGAUGGGGGUGCUAGGAGUUGGCUUCUCUGCUUCCGCCUUUGCUGGUGUGGCCAAAGAAACAUCCCCAAAGAGCCGGUAGCCGCCAGCAAGGCAAAGCACUCAGCACUGUAGACUUUGUCUCCCCUGAUGACCGAGUGGUCUUCUGCACCUGCGAAAGAGAACAGAACAGGGUGGUCUUCCAGAUGAGAAAAUGACGUAGCUGGUAUUGAUGUCAACAUGGGCUGCCCAAAAGAAUAUUCCACCAAGGAGGACAGGCACAGAAUGGACUCGCUUCUCAUCGAGGAUCUCCUUGGGGCUUUUGGGAAAGAAGGUGCCAUCUACGGUGAAAGAAGUCAUACCCGUUUUCUGCUGGAGAAAGCAAGGCAGGAGGCUCUCAAGUCAGGACCCAGCCUCAAAGCAUGGGACCCAGGGGCCAUGUCGCUGUGUGCCUGAGUGGCUGAGCCUUGAGGGAAAGUGGGGGGAUGGAGAUUACCAGGGUGAGGGGCCCAGGGGGAAUCAGGAGACCAGGCAACUGAUGCUUCCAAGCAGGUCUCUUCCCUAGAAGACAGGGCCUGCCCUCGGGGAUGAGGGUGGCCUCCAUUCCUGUCCCCAGGCCUAGUCGGGCCCUGGGCCCAGAACCCCCUCUGUGCCAUUGCCUGGCACCGUCGCCAAGGAGGUGGGCAUACCAACUUGCUAAAGAUCAGUUUGUCUCCUUCCUUCUCCCGAAGGCACCGCAGUAUCUCAGCUGAGGAGUGGGAGCUGCAGGCAAAGGAGUCCGCGAUGUCCUGGGGACAGACAAAAGUGUCAUGCCUCCCUCUCAGCCACUGACCCCCACCUUGCAGCCCUCUGCCUCCCAUAGAGAGGGGGAGCCUCUGCAGCACAGCUGGGCGUGAUGUCACAGAUCAGGCCUAAGACUGGCCACAACUCCUGAAAAGCCUGCUCUGCCCACCAGCUUGGGUGGUCCCCGGGGACUGUGUGUGUCCUCUGUUAUACUAUAAUGUCAUUAUCUGGGGAUGAGGGGCUGUGUACCCUUUGCUCUUUCUUUAUUAUUAUUUCAGAUAUUACGGGGAACAAAUGUUUAGGUUACAUAUAUUGCCUUUGCCCCGCCCCCCA